CGUUGAAUACGUUCCCGGGCUUGUACACACCGCCCGUCACACCAUGGGAGCUGGAAGGACCCGAAGGACUCACAAGGUCUCAAGGUCAGGCCGGUGACUGGGGUG
rnacentral:rRNA from 1 species